rnacentral:rRNA from 11 species
ACAGAGACAAAAAUGAAAGACCAUUCUAGUUAUUUUGUAAAACUAAAUUAAAUUUUUAAUGAUAAUCUAAGAUGGUUAGUUUGACUGGGGCGGUAGUCUCCAAAAAAGUAACGGAGACCUACAAAGGUAGGCUCAAAUUUAGAUAAUAAAUUUUCGAACGCAAUGGUAUAUGCCUGCUUGACUGUGAGACAUACAAGUCGAACAGAGACGAAAGUCGGUCAUAGUGAUCCGGUGGUCCCGCGUGGAAGGGCCAUCGCUCAACGAAUAAAAGGUACGCUGGGGAUAACAGGCUGAUAAUGCCCAAGAGU